GAUAUGACAUAAAAUGAAAUAAACAGAAAAAAUAAAAACGAGCUAGAAUGUUGUGAGUCUUGUCAAAGGACCUUGACUGUAUUCAUAUAACCAAUACUCAGUCAAUCACAAUGGUGAUUGAGUUAGCCACGUGGCUCACAUUGGCGGCUCAGGAGGUCAUUGAGCGACGGGAAAUAGUUUGCUUAUUCUGCUUAUUCUUAUAGAGAUCCCAAUUCCACAAUAUGGUAGAAGUGGCGAUUCUCUAUGAUUAUGAAUUUUCUGUUCUCUCGCGUGUACGAUGACUGCUCUAUACAGCCGACACGACAAACCCGCUUCGUGUCUUUCUCUGUUCUUACUUUCAUACAAUUCCUACUAUUCCUGAGGUACUAGCAAAGGUUUCAUAUAUUCUAAGCUGCAAAAGUUUAACUUUUGAAUUAAUAACUUCGGAACGACUAAAGAUAUUUUUAUAAAAUAAAAGACUUCCAAACUGUAGUCUGCACGGGAACGAGGUACUACGAUGUCUAGAAGCUUACCGUACAUUUUCCGAUUCACACAUAUUUGCUUCCAAAAAAUGUUCAAAUUUAAUUUUUCAUAUCCAAAAAGUAUUUGUAUACCCUCCACUUGAAGAGUAUUUAGAUUUGUAGUGGCAGUGGAUACAGUAUUUACAUAUAUUCUUGAUCAGUGUUAAUAGCCGAGUUCUGUCCGUCCGUCCGUCCCGAUGAGCGCCUAGAUCUCAGAAACAAGAAGAGCUGGAGCAAUUCCAUUUAAUUCAAUGCAAUCAAUUCCGACUCCUAUGAUACAUAUUACACUGAAUCAAGUUUGAUUCAAAAUUUUGCCACGCACCACAGUGGGUGAUUUGCCUGAUCUAACGUAACUAAAUUAAUAACUCAAAAAAAAAGAAGGAGAAUUAUGAAUUAUUAUACAACUAUAAUUAUAUUAUGAAUCCUUCAAGAAACAUCAUUCUUCUAAUUUUGUACAAAAGAUUUUUGAGAAUUUCGAAUUCGAAUCGUAUUCAUCUGAUUCUUACGGCUUCCUUGUCAAAUAAAAAUGCUUUGGUGCAGUUAUUUAUUGACCUUUUGCAUAAGCUUGUUAUUACUGGAUCUGAAGAAACUAAGAACGAGUUCAUUACAUCCUCCACUUUAUUUAAUCGCAAAUUUGUUCGAGUAUGCUUAAGCCGAAAAUUGCGUAAACUUUUGUUGCUUGCUUCCAAGGCUUCUUCCGACAUCAUGCCCAUCGGAAGUGGUACUUGCUAUUAUAACGGCUCCAUAAAUUGAUAUUUUGUGUACAAAUCUGUGCGGUUUCCAAUGCGUAUUCGCGAGUCUCUUUAUUAGAUCAUGGCUUACUUCGGUAAAUUGAGCAGACAAUUGUGAAUUUUCAAAAAACCUUCCACCCGUAACAAUCUUCUAACAACACUAUUGGUGUUGCCAGAGCCUUGCAUGGGAAUGUUUAUUAUUGAUGACAUUUCGACUGUGAACCUGUCUCUGAUAGCUGCCUUUCGUUGACAAACUAUGCCUUUGUCUGAGGCACGGAUCAACCACUUUUAAAUUGGUAGUUGAUAGCUAUACCUCGGAUUUGGCAUAUUUGCAUAUUUUCAUCAGAUUGUUACCAAAAUUUUUAUUUAGACGUUUGAUCAUUCAAAUAUAACGAAUUUGAAUGCAUAUCGAAAAUAUGCAAAACAUAUGCAAAAUAUAUGCAAACAAAAUAUGCCAAAUAUAUGCAGCAUAUGCAAAAUAUAUGCACACGAAUUUCAUCGAAAUAUUGAAGCAAUACUACUUUCUCUUACUGUACUGUUACUGUUCUUAUCAGUUUGAUCUCUGGCGUUAUUUUAGGCUAUUGAUUUGCGCGUUUGCUUUACUUUUCUACAGUCUUUGAAGUGAAGUGUAGUGAAAUGCCGAAAAUCAACAGGUAUAAAAGAAAUUUGUUAGGAAAGUGGUUUAACAGCCUUUCCGAAAAGUGUUUAAAAAUUGUUCGAAAUGAUAUAAUUUGUGCUACUUGUGACAAAAAGGUGAAUUUUCAAUAUUCAGUCUUUUGCGUACGUUCUAACACUUUUAAUGUUUUAGAUUCCUUGCGAAAAAAAUUUCAAUUGCAGCAGCAUAUUGCUACUGUACUUCACUGAAGGUCCAAAGCAUCCAACGAAAAUGCGCCUACUUCCAGCAACACGUCAAGCAGCCUUUCAGAUAAUUCAAACGAAGAAUUUAAAAUGGAUCUUUGUACAGCGUUGAUUGCGGCAAAUAUACCAUGGAAUGUGCUUAGUAAUGGUAACUUUAAUAAUUUUCUGAAAAAAUACACCGGGCAACAAAUUCCUGAUGAGAGUACUCUCAGAAAGAGUUACUUGGAUAAAUCCUACCAACAAUCUAUCCAAAAAAUUCGCGAAAGUAUAAAAGACGAAAACGUUUGGAUAUCAGUGGACGAAACUACGGAUAAGCAAGGGCGAUAUGUCGCAAAUUUGAUUAUAGGAACAUUAAGCGAAAAGGAAUCUUCAUCCUCAUUUUUAUUGUCCUGUAAACAGUUGGAAAAAGUAAAUAAUGCAACUGUUUCUGGAUUAAUGAACGACAGCAUUCGUAUAUUGUGGCCUCACGGGAAUGAGUUAAAAGUUUUCUUACUCUUAACUGAUGCUGCGGCAUAUAUGACAAAAGCUGGUAAAACUUUAAAAGUUUUGUAUCCGAAUCUCAUACAUGUUGUUUAUACGUUUAUAUCUUGUGUGAAAAAAUUUGCAUAAUAGCUCCACUCAGAGUACAACGCUACAAACAAAUACUCAAUAAGGAGUUACCAUCAGAACCGAUCAUAACCAGAUGGGGUACAUGGUUGAAGGCGGCAUCAUUUUAUGUAGAUAAAAAUAAAAGAGGUCCUUGAAACACUGAACCCAGAACAUGCUGAUUCCAUUAAGCUGGCGAAGGAGCUGGUAGAAAACCCACAACUACAUCAAGAAUUCAUAUAUAUAAAAUCCCACUUCGAGAGAGUUGCCGAAAUAAUAAGAGCAUUGGAUACGAAGGCGCUACCAUUAGAAAAUUCAAUGGACUUAUUCAAGGAAGCUGAAAAUAUUGUCUAUAACAUAACUGGUGAUUUUUGAAUGGAUUUAAAAAAGAAAUUUGAAGCAAUUUUGAAAAGAAAUCCUGAUUUUAAAAUCAUUUCAAAAAUAAAUAGUAUAUUAACUCUAAAUGCUGAAGAUCUGUCUGGAAUCGAACCAGUCGCAAAUCAAAAUAUAAUAAAAUAUAAAUUUGCUCCAAUUACUUCCUGUGACGUUGAAAGAAGCUUUUCCGCGUACAAAAUGAUUUUUGGAGAGAAACGUCAGAGCCUCUUAAUAAAUAAUUUAGAGAAAAUGUUAGUUGUUUACUGCAAUACAAAUUAUUUCUAAUAAACUUUAAGCCUUUAUUAUAUCGUAUGUUUUAAGUAUCUAGUUUAAUAGCAGAAAAUAAAAUUUCAAAACCUA